ACUCACUACUUUUUAUAUAUUUUUAAUUUUUUAAAAGUUAGAAUUAAUUUGAUAAUUACGAUAUUCUAACGAUAAUAUCGCGACCUAUCAGAUGCCACCAUCACGAUAAAUUUCUCCUUUUCUACUUUAUCAACCAACACCAGACUAUCACUAUCAUUUAUCUUCACAACAUUUGGGUUGGAGAAGGAGAGUUCUCUUGGCCAAUUGCAUUUUGAAGCUGAGCUAAAACAAUGUGAUG
rnacentral:lncRNA from 1 species